UUAUUACUCCCUCCGUUCAAAAAUACUUGUCGGGGAAAUGGAUAAAAAUGGAAGUAUCUAUAACUAAAAUAUAUCUAGAUACAUCUAUUUCUUCGACAAGUAUUUCCGGACGGAGGGAGUACUUC
rfam:Triticum aestivum genome assembly, contig: Triticum_aestivum_CS42_TGACv1_scaffold_049766_1BS